GCCUGGCUAGCUCAGUUGGUAGAGCACGAGACUCUUAAUCUCAGGGUCCAGGGUUCGUGCCCCACAUUGGGCA
rnacentral:tRNA from 1 species